rnacentral:rRNA from 1 species
CCUACGGGACGCAGCAGUGGGGAAUAUUGCACAAUGGGGGAAACCCUGAUGCAGCGACGCCGCGUGAGUGAAGAAGUAUUUCGGUAUGUAAAGCUCUAUCAGCAGGGAAGAAAAAAGACGGUACCUGACUAAGAAGCCCCGGCUAACUACGUGCCAGCAGCCGCGGUAAUACGUAGGGGGCAAGCGUUAUCCGGAUUUACUGGGUGUAAAGGGUGCGCAGGCGGUUGAGUAAGACAGA